ACGGAUACAAAACAGACGCAGACAUAAUACUUGAGCACAAAAACAAAAAUCAAUAAAACCCAUCAUCUCCCUCCUUCACGAGAGACACAAUAUCCACAAACAGAAAAUCAUUCAUGAACAGUAAAACAAAUCAACGGAACCCUAGUCCAUAAUCCAGAAAGAAGCAAACCGGUCGAGAUCAAAGAGAAAAUGAAAUCAACUAUUUGAGGGGGUGACUUACCUGUCACAGACGGAUCCAAGCUAGGGUUGAGAAAGUAGCGCCCGGGUUUGCCUUCCAAAACGCCCUCUUAACGGUCAGCUUGCGCUCUCCCUUUCACCUUCAAUACGAGCUUCGUCCGUCGGCAGCAAAAAGGGUUUCAGUUGGUGCAAUUGAUGUUCAAAGGAGAAAGCUUUCAGAAGCACUUUUUUUGCUGCUCAGAAACGAGUUGUCUUGUUCGAUGCUAUCUUUUGGAAAGUGAAUUCGGAGCAUUGGCUUGAUUUAUCAUCACUAAUAUACUCUUUGUCCAAAGCCUUUUCUAGUUUGGAAGCAGAUAUACUCUCUCUGUCUUCAUUGCAAAAGCAAAACUCCGAGGCUCCUUUUGAUGUUGAUUCUAAAAUGAAGAUUGAUGCUACUGCUGCUGUUGAGAUUGUGCAACAAUCUUCUGGUGUUUUGUCUGAACAUGAUAGGAACGACCUUUCAUUAUAUUCAUCUGAUGAAAUUGGUUUUAGAGACAGAGUUCUAGGUUCUAGUGUUAUAACGCCCAGAAGCAUGAACAAUAGGAACUCAGAAAUAGCUCCAAACCAGAGCAUUCCUUCAAAGCCAUCUUCUGAGAAUCAACGCUCAAGGUUUAGCUCUCCUUGUGUUCGUGCAAAGGAGCAUGAAGAUCUUACAGUUUCUGUUACUCGAGCAAAAGCUCCAGAGGAGACUUCGGGGGAUCAAAGUAAAAACGAUGGAGAAUUUGAAACGUCUAGCAUAUUUGGUGGAACACCUUUCAGGAAAGGUUUUGAAUCACCUUCUGCAUGGAAAUAUCAGAAGGUUUGGCCUCCGGUUCAACGCCAGCAGUAACAUUGAACAUUGGAGAAAUGCAACAGCAAAAAACACUAUGAGUUGUUAUCUUGAAUCUUCUGAAUUAUUGUUGUUGGUUUGCAAGUGAUAAACAACUCCAACUCAAACUCAUCAUCGCUUUUCUUUUGCUAUUUUCUGCGUUUUCUUCACUCUGUAUUGUUAUUGGUGCUUGUAUCAGUUUCUAUGUCUUGGUAUCGGUUUGGUAGAACCCAAGAGAGAAUCAUCCGAAAAUUGACAACCUGCCGGAAGGAAUUUGGCCUGCGACUCGGUGUCUUCUAUUUGAUACUGUUUAAUAUUUGCUUGCUUGCUGCUGAUAUCACUGUGGUUAAUAUUGUGCAGGAAAUUGAAGAUCAAGCGGUUGCAAGGAAAUAAAACAGGUUGCUUGAACUAAUGCAGUUUUUGAGGAUGGCCUUGGAUUUGCUUCCACUGUGGCACCGCACAUAUCUCUUUGUGUAUCCUAAAUCGAUAACCAAUGGAACUUCCAAAGCUUUUGCCAACUGACGGGCUGAUGCAACAAAUAAAUUGCAAUUAUUUUGCAAAUCUGGAAUGGAUAGAUUGGGUGCUGCAUUUUGUGUACAUGCCUGAUAUGUUCUGCAGGUUUACAACCACGUCUGCGGGUGAUGGAUCAUGAAAGCCAGUUGACAUUAGAGAAAAGGAGAUAGAAACUGUCCUGUAGUGAACAACGAACAAGAUUUUCUCGAGAUUGCUCGGUCCAGUGUUAAUGACCGACAACUAAUUUAUUGUAUCAUUUGUAAUGCUCAAAAGUUGAAUGGUCUGUCAAUUGCUGCGAACUAACAGAAGUUGAAUAAUUUGCAGAUCCAAAAGCUAGCAAAUGAGAGGAAUGAGCAGAUCAGAAAGCAUGGAAGCAUUCUGCAAAUUAGUAGACUUUUGUUCUGGAACGCAUAAAGAUAAGCUGGGUUUGUAAGGGUUAUCAGCAUUACCUUGAACCCCCUGAAAUAUAUCAUCAGACUUUGUCAGAUAAAGUACUCAAUAUAGUCUUAAUAUUUUCAGUUCUCAACUUCCCUAGAUCGUUUGAGACAAAAUGUUGCAUUUCAAUCCAGCUGCAGCCAGGUUUUACCACAUUUGCUUCGAAGGAGCCUUGCCGAUAAAUUCUGCAGCAGGAUUCUGCCUUUGGGAAAAAGCAUCUUUUGUCAAGCGAGUCAUUUUCAAAAUGAUUCCAAAAUCUUUGGCUGUAUUUGUUGCAUGAAAUAUUCCAGAGUGUAUAGACCUAUUUUUCACCUGGACUUCCACCUGCUGCCCAAUUAAGCAUGUUGUUAGAUAUACCAGUCGGUCAUGUGUUGCCGUUGUUUUGUAGCAUUUGGAACUUGAUUUGCAGCAAACACAUUCCCAUUUGAGUGAUGAGAGGAGGUGUUAGGUACCAGUCCAUUUCGGCACUAUAGAGUUUGCUCAGUGCAGCACCGUGAACCUCGCAAACUGCAAGUUUCUGAGUAAUGUUGAUUGGCUCUUGUAGCUGCUCCCUUGGCCGCUAG